GCCGGCAGCUAGCUGACAUGGCUGUAACUCUCACAGGGUCUGUACCCGAAGCUAAGCAGGGCUGCCCCUUGUCAGUACCUGGAUGGGAGACCACAUGGGAAAGCUAGGUUGCUGCCAGAA
rnacentral:rRNA from 1 species